rnacentral:tRNA from 1 species
GCGCUGCUAGCUCAGCUGGAUAGAGUAACUGGCUACGAACCAGUAGGUCAGGGGUUCAAGUCCCUUGCAGCGCGCCA